rnacentral:lncRNA from 1 species
CGAGGAGAGGAGUUUUCCGAGAGCGAGAACUCAUAAGCCAAGGAGACAGUGGGAGGCAAAUCGAGCUUGAAGAGAUUCAAGAGUCGAUAGAUGAAGGAACCUCUACCGCUGGCACUCAACCCGAGGAGGAAACUCCGGUUGAACCGAUUGACGAAUCCUUACCUCUUAGACGUUCCGAUAGAGUUAGAGUUCAACCCCAGUUUUAUGGUUUUCAUAUUACUACCGAAGGGGACACGUAUAUUAGUGAUGGUACACUAAUAAAUCUUGAUGAACCUAAUAGCUAUAAGGAAGCCAUGGCAGGCCCGGAGUCUGCAAAAUGGAAAGAGGCAAUGGAUAGCGAGAUCCAAUCCAUGUAUGAUAACCAAGUUUGGAAUUUGGUUGAUUAUGUGCCCGGACGUAAGACCGUUGGGUGCAAAUGGAUCUUCAAGAAGAAGACCGACGUGGAUGGAAACGUGCACACAUAUAAAGCGCGAUUGGUUGCGAAGGGCUUUACUCAAACUCCCGGAGUUGACUAUGAUGAGACCUUCUCACCAGUUGCGAAGAUUAAAUCUAUUAGAGUGAUGCUAGCAAUUGCCGCAUUUCAUGAUUAUGAGAUUUGGCAAAUGGAUGUCAAGACCGCUUUCCUUAACGGAAAGUUGGCUGAGGAUGUUUACAUGGCUCAGCCAGAGGGGUUUGUGGAUCCGAAGCAUCCGAAUAGAGUGUGUAAGCUUGAGAAGUCCAUUUAUGGACUUAAGCAAGCGUCUCGCAGAUGGAAUCUUUGCUUCGAUGAGAAAGUCAAAGAGUUUGGAUUUGUACGAAGCGAAGACGAAUCUUGUGUAUAUGUCAAAGCCAGUGGGAGUAUAGUAAGCUUCCUCGUUCUAUAUGUCGAUGACAUAUUACUCAUAGGAAACGACAUCCCGACUCUGCAGGAGGUUAAGUCCUGGCUCGGGAAGUGCUUCGCUAUGAAGGACCUCGGAGAGGCUUCUUACAUUUUGGGAAUAAGGAUAGUAAGAGAAAGAAGUAAGAGACUAAUUGGACUUAGUCAGAAUACUUACUUAGAGAAGGUACUAAAACGUUUUAGUAUGGAAAACUCAAAGAAGGGAGAACUACCGAUACAAAGUAAUGCCAAAUUGAGUAAGACUCAAAGUCCGAGUACCGAAGCUGAGAUAGCAGAAAUGAGCCGAGUACCAUACGCUUCCGCAGUUGGCUCAAUCAUGUACGCUAUGACUUGUACUCGCCCUGAUGUAGCCUUCGCUUUGAGCAUGGUUAGCAGAUAUCAAGGGAAUCCUGGCAAAGCACAUUGGAUUGCGGUGAAGAAUAUCCUUAAGUACCUUCGGAGGACGAAGGAAUGGUUCUUAGUCCUCGGAGGAGGUGAUGACUUGAAGGUGCGAGGGUAUAGUGACACCAGCUUUUAGACCGAUAGGGACAACUACCGUUCGCAAUCGGGCUGGGUCUUUACCCUGAAUGGAGGAGCAGUGACUUGGAAAGUUCCAAGCAAAAAAAACCAUAGCUGAUUCAAUGUGCGAAUCAAAGUACAUUGCAGCGAGCGAAGCGUCGAAGGAGGCAAUAUGGUUGAAGAACUUCAUUGGUGAUCUUGGAGUUGUACCUGCCAUAAAGGAGCCCAUGGAGAUUUUCUGUGAUAACGAAGGAGCGGUUGCCUUGACCAAGGAACCGAGGGAUCAUGGUAGAUCAAGACAUAUCGACAGAAAAUAUCACUUCAUUAGACAUCGUGUAGAAGAAGGACAACUCGUAGUGAAGAGGAUAUCAUCAGAAGAUAACCCAGCAGAUCCGCUUACGAAGGGACUGAGUAGGGUUAAGCACUUGCAGCAUGCUAGGAGUAUUGGGCUGAAGGAUGAUAUUAGCAUAGAUUAGAUAGUAUUAGAAACGUGUAAUAGAUAAAUGUAAUUAACAUUUGAUGAUUAAAUAAAGGAGUUUUAUUUAUGAGUAAUGUUACUAUCUUAUGUUAAUUGUUUAACUAUUGUUUCACUUUGCAUGUUUUGACUUCCAGAAUAAUUGAGUUUAUUAGGAAUAAUCGAAUUGUUCAAAUUGUCCACAAUCGUUCAUAUGUUGGAAGUAGAUAUGAAUGAAGAUUGUCAUGAAUUGGUGUGUAGAUUGUCUAAAUGGUGUUAGACAUAGCAAAGGGUUGCUGCGACGUUCAUGAGUGCUUAUGAACUAGUUUUGAGCAUUGGAACAAACCCGCGCUUGCUGGAAUCACCUUAUGGAAUAUGAUAUAAAAGGGUGAUCGCAAGACGAUAAUAUCAUAUAGUCUUAAAACCUAGAUAUAUGGUUUGUUAUUUGUUAAUUGGUUGUACAUUGAUAAUGCGAAAACGCAUCAGUAACUCGGUGUUAUAAAACGCAUUGUUGUGUAUAGUUGAUUAAUGAAUAAGUAAAUGCAUAUAAGUCGAAGUUUAUCUGUUACUUUUAUCCCAAGAGGGUAAAAGCGAUAUCUCGGCCGCUCGAUGAUUUGAUUUGACUUAUGUGCCGGGCCCGGUCAGAACUGAAUUGAUGUGUUCGAUUAAGUUCUAUGUCAAAUGAAUCGGAGAUCGAGAAACCAAAUGCUAGACAAAUUAUUCCAUAGAAUUGUCAGCAUGAUAUCUAACAGAGGACUGUACGAUCCCUUAUCUAAAGGACAAGAUUGAUUAGAUCAGAGUUUGACAGCGUCUUUGAGAGCUACGAUUGCAAAUCGAAUUGUACUUGUGCAUAUAGUUACUAGACUUAUCCAAGUGGGAGACUGUUGGAAUAGUGUCUAAGGCUGCAACUAUAUUAGGCAAGUAUUUGACCCGAUUGUGCAUGGUCCUUUUGGGUUGCCUUCACCAUAGCAACUUGAUAGGAUGAUUUAUUAUGAGAGAAUAAAUAUUAUUAAUAUAUUAUGAGAAUAAUAUAAGAAAUAAUAAUAUUGUUAUAUGAUUAAUAUAAGUCAUAAAAUUAAUUAGAAUUAAUUUGGUGACUUAAAGAGAUUAAAUAAAUAAGAGGGUAUAAACUGUCAAUUGUUUGAUAGUUACACUUUGGGCUAUAAAUCCUUCAUGGAUAGGGUUGGACUAUUUCUAGGGCUUGGAAUAAGCCAGAAAUCGUCCAAGGGCUUAUCUUGGAAUGGAUUUGGAUUGCUUUGAGUAAAAGUUAUCCAAUUAGGGUUUAAGGGUGAAACACUAGGAGCCUUACAAGUAUAAAUAGACCCUUAGGGCAAGGGAAAUCGGCACCUCUGCUAAAGCAAAGAAACCCUGGCCGAUUUCUAUUCCCUCUCCUCUCUCUCUCUCUCAAAUGAUCCUCUUGCUAGUUGGUGUUUGUAAGCCAUUAGAGGAGUGACAUUUGUGACUCUAAAGCUCCAAGAACAAGAAGAUCAAACAAGUGUUUCAAGGUAAGCUUCUAACUCUGAUUUUGUAUUGUUCUUAUACUCUAUUAGCUAUUAGAAGUCUUGGAUCCAAUGCAUGUUUAAUUAGAGAAACCUAGAUCCAAGCAUUAGGGUUUGUAUGUGCACAUAGGAAUGUUCAUAUGGCCAAAACCCAUCACUUAUGACAAAAAUCACAUAUCUCACGCAUGGCUUGACCCCAACGUCCUAGAUAGGAUUUUUAUGACUCUACCGCUGAAUAUACUCAAAGGGGUGGAUCAUAGUCUCUGGAGUGCAAUAUCAAAUAAAGUCUCCAACUUUUGCGACAAAACCGUAUAAUGCUCUACCAAGAUGCGAAUACCAAAAGAAUGAGAAAGUUUUGAGCUUUAUACCUCAAAAUGAAGCUCUACACUAACAUAAGGCCAAAUCCAAGGCCUGAAAUCCCACUCCUUCUUUAAGAAUCCUUCUUCACUCCAAAGUAACUCAAGCUCUAAUGCACUCACAAGCUCUAAAAAUAGAAAGUAGGGUUUAGGAGGGUUGGUGACUGAGAAUGGUGGUCAGAAAUGAAGCCAUCGUAUCCUUUAAAUUGGGGUCUCACCCUAAAUUAGGGUUUUCACUCUGAGCCUAGUACGCCCAGCGUACCCUCUGGUACACCCAACAUACUAGGUGGCUUCUGCGUCAAAUGCACGCAUAUGAGUACGCUGAGCGUACACUCGAGUACGACUCGCAUACUCAUUCACCACCUUCUCUCAUAAAGGGACUAAAAUGGCCAAAUACUCAAAAGACCAAGGGUCAUAGGGUAUACCUGAUCUCGGGAUGUUACAAUUAUCCCCCACUAGGAUCAAACUUCGCCCUCGAAGUCAUGCUCUGGGAAUAAAUCGGGAUAUUUCUCACACAUCUCUGACUCCGACUACCAAGUCGACUCGAACCUUCUAUGAUAUUGCCACUGCACUCGAACCAAGGGCAUCUCUUUGUUCCUCAAAACCUUCACCUUUCGAUCAAAAAUCGCGAUCUUGAUGUAAUUCAGGCUCCUAUCCACCUGAAUGUCCUCUAGGGGUACCACUGUCGUCUCAUGUGACAUCCCCAAUUUCAUGGCCAGAAAAAACCGAUUUGUUUAUGCUUUGUUUUAUAAAAUCAGAGUAAUCUUUUGAUUUAAAAGAGUUGUGGAAUAUGUUCCCAAAACAAAAUAUGAUAAAUUUUAUCAAAACGUUUCUCAAAGAGAAUUUAUUUUCAGUAAAUAAUAAAAUCUCGGGAUGUCAUAUUCCGAUAGAGACCAAAAGCAUAAACAAUACAAUACAGACCUUACAACAAUUAUUUACAACUACUGGUCUAUUAUCCAACAUCUCUCAUCAGGUCCACCAACUUAUACUCUUGUGCCAUUACCUGUAAUACAAAGAAAACUGAGUGGGUCAGGCUUGGGAACUUAGUGAGCAUAUAGGGUUUUCAACCCAUAAUAAUAUAAUUAUUAUAUUCAACCAUCAAACAAUCAACCAAAUUACCCAUCCCCAUUAUCUUCUUUAUUUCUCAAGGUUUUACCCUAAGAAUUCAACUAUCCUUCAUUCAUUCAUUCCUAAGGAUUGACCUAAGGAAUUGGCACAAAAUCCAUUGCUACAUAAGGCGCAUCUACCAACAUCAUCCUUUAAGCGCCUCUACCAGGACUACAUCAUACACUAUGAGGCGCGGCUACCAAGUUAAUGACAUUCUCUUUUAGGCGCAUCUACCGACAUUAUCCUAUAAAUGCAUCUGCCAGGAUUAUCCUAUAAGCGCAUCUGCUAGUAUUAUUACAUUCUUUAUUUGGUGCAUCUACCAAUAUUAUUCUUAAGCGCAUCUGCUAGUAUUAUGACAUUCUCUAAUUGGUGCAUCUGCCAAUAUCAUUCCUAAUCAUCUUUCAUACCUCAUCAUCUACCUCACCAUUUUAUCACAUAUCAACUAUCUCAUCUACCCAUGUUCUACCCAACAUACCUGUAGAUAUAAAAUACAUAUACAAUUUAACUCAUUUAAAAACUAUAUAAAACAUCCAUUCCACACUCAUCUCAAAUAAACAACAAUAUAUAAACACAUAGCAUGUAUUUCAUAGAAAAUACUUCCUAUUUAUGUGUUAGAAGAGAAUGACUACACACUCACACGUAUAAACAACAAUAUAUAUACACAUAACACGUAUUUUAUAUAAUACUUCUUAUUUAUGUGUAAGUUGAAAGUGACUAUACACUGACUUGAUCAGAAGAUGAUCGGACAUCACUACAGCUUGUAAAAGUAGUAUUCUUCGAUAGAUCUACAAGAUCUUCAUAAUAACUGGCUUCUCGCGGGCAGAGCUUCGGCUCGGGAACUUCACUUCUCGGGAUCUUCAGGGCUUCGGGACUUGCUUCGGGUCUCGGGAGUGAUACCGGCGCUUAGAGAUAUUUCUUGCAUGCAAAACGAUGCAAAACGAGAGAGAAAGGGAAGGAUGGAGCACCAAAACUCGGCAGCCCUCAACAUCUAUUUAUAGGGUGCUGGAAGAAGGACUACAUCGGGUGUAAUCUUAGGUACGCUGGGCGUAAUCUUAGUUACGCUGGGCUUAUGCUUCGGAUAAGCUUUGGUAUGCAUGCCUCGAACUUCAAUAAUUAAUAACUUUCACACACAAGCUCCGUUUUUGACGUUCUUCAUACCCACGCGUAGGUGAGACUAUGCUCUACAACUUUCAUUUAGACUCCGUCGGCUAAUUUUGAAUUUAUUUUUAUUAUAUUAUUUUUAGUAGGCCGGGGCAGGAAAACACCGUUAUAAAUUUAUAACUUCUUCAUCCGACGUCCAUUUUCGUCUGUCUUUUCACCAUUGCACUACUAAUAACGAGAUCUUCGAUUCUCGUUUAUAUUUCUUCGACAAAAAAUCACUCGAUCUCAAAUUCGAGUUUCAGGUUGCAUUUUGCUAAGCUGAAACUUAGAAAAAUCAUAACUUCCUCAUACGAAGUCAGAUUUGGGCAUUCUUUAUAUGCACGCUUUCGGUUCAAUGAACGCUACGACUUUCGUUUACAUCACUAAGGCUAGAUAUCGCUCUAUCUUGAAUUCAUAUUUUUCGUCAUUCAGCGUCGAGCCGGUUCUAUUGCGAAACUUCGACAGGUCAUAACUUCUUCAUUAUAAUUCGGAUUUCAGCGUUCUUUGUAUGUUCGGAAACCUCGUAACAUAUACUACAACUUAAUUAAGAUUAAUCUUUCUAAAUAAUCUUCCAUCAAGAAGUCGUUUUUUAUGCUUGUCGUCUCUACAUUGACUAGCCCUGAUCUACGGCGAUUACAUCUCAUCGGCUACACACUUCCUCAACUAUGACACGUGGAAGGUGUUAUGAAUCUGACUCAACUCUACAUGUAGCUCCAACCGGUAAGCUAACCUACCCACUCUAGUGGUCAUUUUGAAAGGACCAAUGUACCGAGGCCCCAAAUUGCCCUACUCCCAGAAUCGGAUUACUCUUUCCAUGUGGAUACCUUCAAGAGUACAAAAUGCUGAUCGGGAACUCCAGAUCAGAUCGCCGCCUGUAUGCAUAACUCUUGUGGUGACUCAGGGCCGUCAGUAACCUCUGUCUGACCUGCUGAAUGUGCUCAGUCGUCUUCAGCACUAUCUUAGUGCCACCCAUCACUCGUUGUCCUACCUCUCCCUAACAAAUGGGAGUCUGACACCUCCUCCCAUAAAGUAGCUCAAAGGGAGGCAAACCAAUACUCGAAUGAUGGCUGUUGUUGUAAGAAAACUCAGCUAAGGGCAAAUAAGUGUCCCGACUUCCUCCGAAGUCCAUCACACAUGCUCGCAUCAUGUCAUCAAGCAUCUAAAUAUUCUGAUCGCUCUGCCUAUCUAUAUGUGCAUGGUAUAUGGUGCUGAAGUGAAACCGAGUACCCAACUCCUCAUGAAAUUUCUUCCGGAACCUGGAAGUAAAACGCACGUCUCGGUCCGACAUUAUCGAGGUCGGCACUCCAUGCCGAGCUAGCACCUCUCUCACACAAAUCUCGACCAAUUUCUCUGCAGAAGAUCUCUUACUAAUGGCGAGGAAAUGAGCGCUCUUCGUCAGCGGGUCUACAAUCACCGAAAUUGCAUCGACUCCACGUGUAGUCCUCAGCAAAUUAGUGUGGAAAUAUGUUCCCACUUCCACUGGGGAAUCUCCAGAGGCUGUAACGGACCAUAAGGACACUGGUGCUCGGUCCUAACCUGACGACAUGUCAAGCACCUCUCAACUACCCAAGCCACGUCCCUCUUCAUACAUGGCCACCAAUAAUCUCUCUUUGGGUCCAAGUACAUCUUGGUAGCUCUUGGGUGGAUCAAGAAUCUCGAUCUAUGCGCCUCCUCCACCAAAAUACGGCGAGCUCCACUCGUGUAGGGCACCAAAUCUGCCCCCGGAAAGUCAUAAACCCUCGACUAUCGGGCAAAAACUCAGACACUUGGCCAAUCACAUGUUCCCUCUUGAGAUUCUCCGGUCUCAUGGCCUCUACCUGGGCCUCUUGAAUAGAAUCUAAAAUUGGAGUCAUCACCAUCAUUCUCAUGCACACAUCUCGGAUCGAAGCACUCUCUACUCUACGGCUCAGGGUGUUGGCUACCAUAUUAGCCUUGCUCGGAUGGUACAAGAUCUCGCAAUCAUAAUCUUUCACCACAUCCAACCACCUCCUCUAUAUCAUAUUUAGGUUGGGCUGAUCCAUGAGAUACUUCAGGCUCUCGUGGUCCGUAUAGAUCAUACACCUAACACCAUAAAGAUAGUAGCGCCAAAUCUUUAGGGCAAACACCACCGCUCCAAACUCCAAAUCAUGUGUGGGAUACCUUGUCUCGUGAGGCUUCAGCUUCCUCGACGUAUAUUCAAUCACGUGACCCCUCUGCAUUAACACUGCACCCAUCCCCGAGAUAGACGCAUCACAAUAGACCAAAAAGUCUUCUACCCCCUCCGAAAGGGCUAACACCGGAGCUUCGUACAAUAUCUGGCGAAGGGUCUCGAAAGGUGCCUGCAGCUCAGGCCCACAAACAAAAGUAACGCCCUUCCGGGUCAACUUAGUGAGAGGAACUGCAAUCUCGGAGAAAUCCCUGAUAAAUCUCCGAUAGUAGUUGGCCAAACCCAAAAAAAUCCAGAUCUAGGAUGGGGACCUCGGCACCUCCCAUUGCAUAACCGCCUCAAUCAUGGCCAAAUCGACCAAUAUCUCACUCUGAUUGACGGGAUGUCCUAGAAACUGGACCUCUCGUAGCCAGAAAUCACAUUUGGAGAAUUUAGCAUACAACCUCUCCGACCUCAAAACCCCCACAACCUCUCGCAAAUGCUCCUCGUGCUGCUCCCUGGAUCUCGAAUACACUAAGAUAUCAUCAAUGAACACAAUCAUCGACCGCUCCAAAAUAGGCCUACACACCCGGUUCAUGAGAUCCAUGAAUGUCGUCGGUGCAUUGGUAAGUCCAAAAGGUAUCAACACGAACUCGUAAUGCCCAUAACGAGUUCUAAAGGCCGUCUUAUGAAUAUGCUCCUCGCAUACUCUCAUCUGAUGAUAUUCAGAUCACAUAUCAAUCUUGGAGAACCAGGAUGCCCCCUGAAGCUGAUCGAAUAAAUCAUCACUCCUCAGAAGUGGGUAACGGUUCUUGACCGUCAACUUAUUCAACUCCUAGUAAUCGGUACACAUUCGGUGUGAACCAUCCUUUUUCGUGACAAAAAGGAUCGGCGCUCCCCAAGGCGAGCUACUCGGUCGAAUAAAUCCCUUCCCUAGCAGCUCCUAAAGUUGGGAGGAUAAAUCAUGCAUCUCUGGCAGUGCAAGAUGAUAAGAUGCCUUGGCGAUAGGUGCUGCUCCCAAAACAAUAUCAAUCUGAAAGUCAACCUGCCUCUCGAAAGGCACACCCGGUAACUCCUCAGGAAAACAUCAGGGAACUCACAUACAAUCGCAACCUCGGAGAUAGAACUCGGCCUCUCCCCACUAGGGUCUCGUAUAGUUACCAACUGGUGCUCGCAGUCGAUCAUCGCUCCAAGGCGGCUCUACCAAUCCAUGCCCACAAUGUCGCAAACAUCACCCAUCGUGAUCGGUACCAGGUCAAUCGGAUACUCAACACCAAAAAUAUCCAGCCCACAUCCUCGGAAAACCCCAGUAGCGAAGACCGCAUGCUCAUCUACUAUAGAAAUCCUCAGAGGUCGACUCAACGCCUCAUGUCGGAUACCGAUGUGACGACUAAAGGUUGGAGACACAAAUGAUCGACUCGCACCCGAGUCAAAUAACACUAAAGCAGGUAUAGAACUCACAAGAAAUGUACCUAAAUAUAGACCAAAAUAAUCACAAAAGAGAAUCUCAUAAUAAAUAAAUAAAUAGGGGAAUACAUACCAGUCACGACAUCAAGUGUUGCGCAGACCUCCUCUGCUGUUAGCUGAAAAACUCUCCCACGAGCCUUCAGAACCUCGGUGUUCACCGAUCGAACAUCAUUAGCACGUAAUGCAGCAGGAGUGGAACCCUGGGCUGAUCCCUGAACAAGUUGAGGGCACUCGGCCUUCCGAUGGCCGGUCUGAUUACAGUGGAAACAGACUGCAAAACCCCUGAGGAAAUGCUUCGCCAUAUGCCCUUCCUUGCCAUAUUUGUAUAAAAUCCAUGCACGACAAGCUCCCUCAUGACUCUUGCCGCACUUCCACAAGUCUGGCCCUUCUGGCCUCUUGAUCUCAAAUCAGUGGCCAUAGCCCGCUUGGUUUCCGGUUGCGACUGUGUUGGCCGUCGGUCUCUCCCAUGAGACUCCACGUCCUCGCACACCUAAGUCUCCAGCUCGAUCUCCCUCCUCCUGGAAUUUUCCUGGAUCUUAGAAAAUUUACGGUAAGACAAGUUCGCCAUGAACUCCCGAACAUCCCUCCUCAGAAUGCUCAAGUACCGACUCAUGCGUGCAUGCUCAGGACAAAACAACGCCCUCUACUGAAACAUCCACGUAAUCACAAUCACCGACUCUGUCUUUUGUCUAAGAGACAAAAACUCCUGGGCCAACUGUUCCCUCUCCAUAGGGGGAACAUACUUAUCUCAGAACAUCACGAAGAAUCGUUCCCGUGUCGCUACAGCAUGCUCUGCAGGGGUGAAACUAGUCGUCACAAACUUCCACCAAACCUUCGCUCCCAAGAGAAGUUGGUUCAACGCGAAUCGUACCCUCAGUUGCUAUGGGCAUGAUCAUGUGUAGAAACAUACCUCAACAUCAGAUAUCCACCUCAUCACAAAACUCGGAUCUUGUGUCCCAUCAAACUCUGGUGGCUUCGUGAUGCUGAACUCCCGGUACAGCAACGAGUCACCCCCCUACGGUCUGGCAGCAGCGACAAUUGCGGUGGCUGCAACAGCAGCCGCCUCAGAAACAUAGCAUAUCGCUCAUCAAAUGUCUCAAUCAAAGUGGUCUUUAUAGACCCAAACAUCCCCGGAAUAGCCUCCUGAAUGGCUGCAGCCACCUCGUCGUGAGUCAUCCAGCGAAUAUCAUCAUCGUUAACUCCACUACUCUCUGGGGUGUGGCGCGUACCUGUCAUGAUGUCUCUGAAACACAACAUAAAAUCAUUAGAAACUCGCUCGAGCAUACUCACACUCGACUACUCAUCCCUACUUGCUCCUUAGCAUCCCAAAGAUUCUUACUUGGAUCGCUUACAGACCGGGUGCUUUCAGUAGUACGGGCCCAAUACUACCUUCCACACCCCAUCUGUAGUCACCCCAAGUCCUCCUUCUAGGAUUCUAACUCAUAAAUACUCUAUGUCUCAUGAAUCUCGAUCUACUCUCUCAGUAGACCCCUCUCUUAAGUUUACCUAAGUAUUUAUUCCUAGAUUAUCUCCCGACUCAAAACUCAGCUCAUAAUCAAGCAAAUAACAAAUAACACUGAUCAAAAUAACUCCUAGACUAAGGCAUCACAAAUCAGGCAACUCUAGCCCUAAAAUAUGGAAUACUUAACCUACCCUCUAGCGUGCAAUCUUAGCAAAAUAUCUCAUAACACAAACGUAAGGGUAUUUUUGGGAUAUCACCGUUUGGCUCUAGCUGAUUGUACACACCGCUUCCAUUUAUUUUCUCUAAAAAAAACUCUUUCACAUUUUGGAAAAUUUCUCUUCUUUUGAAAAUUCUUCUGAAAUCAUUAGUUUGAGUCCAAACACACUCGGAGGUGCAUCCGAAUCUCUCAAACCAAGGCUCCGAUACCAACAUGUAACGACGUAAAAUUUUAACCAAAUUUGAAAUUUCAAAACACAUUGUUUUUAAUAAAUAAUUAUGAAAUGCCACAAUGUCAAUUCACCAAUAAUCAUGCUCAAAAGAAAUCAAUGUAUCAAACUCCAGGAUCCCCUAAAUCAUAAAAAAAAUCUCUGGUGUAUGUGUACAAUCAAGUCAGCGCCUUCCUGUGAUCCUGAGAAGUACCUGAAACACAUAACACAUACAUGGUAAGCACAAAGCUUAGUGAGUUCCCCAAAGUACCACACACAACACAUUAGCCACUUGAGGCUAUAACUCUAUAUGACCCUCCGAUCAACGUGUCUCAGUGGGACCCUCCAGUCCCAACUCAGCAAGCUCAAUAAUAACAAUACACUGCAUAAAUCACAAAGAUAUAAUGCGGAAUAUCAAAUACACAGAUACUCACAAUAAGCAGCUCAAUCACACAAGGCACCACUCAAGGCAAGUAUAGUGAGAAGACUCACCUUGCAAGAAGUCAGCAAAAACUCGAACUCAAACCACCGGUCUAGCCUUCGCCUAACAUACACAAUAAUUAUCCCUAAUAAAUCAUGACUCUCAAGAGGCUACGCUUUCUCACAGAAGGGUAAAAGACCAUUUUACCCCUCAAUGGCCCUAUUUGUCCAUAAUUUGACCCAAGCCCAAAAAGUCAACACAAGUCAGGAGCAGGGAGUAUGCCGCGCGUACCAGCUCCUUACGCUGGGCGUACUCGGCUGCCAUGCAGAUAUCGGGGAUGCGUGACCCAUACGCUACGCGUACCGGAAUUACACCCAGCGUACGCUCCAGUUUCACCCAUCUCACUUGUUUUAUCUUAAACAGUUAAGACCUUGGCUCAUAUCUCGGAUCUAGACUCUCUAAUAGCUCUUAACCCAUAAAGUCAGGGACUUCAAGCCAUUGCAUGGCUGGACAGGUCCCAAACACACAAAACGUUCACACUCUUAUGACAAAAAGCAUAUAUCUCAUGCAUGGCUUGACCCUAACAUCGAAGAUAAGAUUUUUAUGACUCAACACCACUAAAUAUACUCAAAGGGGGUGGAUCAUAGUCUCUGGUGUGCAAUAUCACAUAAAUCUCCAACUUUUGGGACAAAACUCUAGAAUACUCUACAAAGAUGCAAAAACCAAAAGAGGAAGAAAGUUCUGAGCUUUAUACCUCGAAAUAAAGCUCCACACUAAGAUAAGCCCAGAUCCAAGGCCUUAAAUCCCACUCGAGUACACCUUGCGUACUCAUUCACCACCUUUUCUCAUAAAAGGAGUAAAAUGGCCAAAUACUCAAAAGACCAAGGGUCACGUGGUAUACCUGAUCUUGGGAUGUUACAUCACUCUUGGUCAAUCUGUCCAUAAUGACCCAGAUAGAAUCAACACCAAGCGUCGACUUAGGCACUUCUGUGAUGAAGUCUAUAGUGAUAUCCUCCCACGUCCAAAUGGGAAUUGGUAACGGCUGCACCUUGCUGUGGGGCCUCUGAUGCUCGGCCUUAACUUUCCUACAAGUCAAGAAUCGCUCAACAAACCAAGAUAUCUCACUCUUCAUACAGGGCCAUCAACAGCACAAACUUAAAUUCCUAUACCUCUUUGUGUCCCCUGGACAUAUAUAAAACUUUGACUUAUAUACCUCCUCCAGUACCGUCUAUCUCACCCCACCUGAUGUCAGGACCCAAACUCUACCACACUGAGUCAGCAAUCCACGGUUGUCCAUGAAAAACAAGGGAAUUUGCCCCUGAUCCACUUAACCUUCCAAUUCUCCUUUUUUAAACCCUCUACUUGAGAUUCCUAGAUCAAAUCUAACAGAGGCAAGGUAACGACCAUCCUCAAGAAAACAUCUCUGAUUUGAGUACUUGCCAUCUUGCGGCUCAAUGCAUCGGUCACCACACUGGCCUUCCCAUAGUGGUACAGGAUCUCGCAAUCGUAACCCUUUACCACAUCCAACCAUCUAUGCUGCCUUAUAUUCAAAUUUGGCUAGUCUAUCAAAUAUAUCAAACUCUUGUGGUCAGUGUAGAUAGCACAUCAGACCCCAUAUAAAUAGUGCCUCCAAAUAUUGAGGAUGAAAACCAUAGCCCCCAACUCCAAAUCAUGCAUGGGGUAGGUCACCUCAUGAGGCUUCAGCUGCGUCAAAGUGUAUGCAAUCACAUGACCCCUUUGCAUAAGAACAACUCCCAAACCCGAGAUAGAGGAGUCACAAUAAAACACAAAUUCAUCCAAACCCUCAAGGAGCGCAAUAAUCGGGGCCUCACACAAUCUCUGCUCAGAGUCUCAAAAUCCAACUGUUGAUCUGGCCCUAACCAAGAGGUCACAUUCUUCUUUGUCAAACGGGUCAAUGGAACAACAAUAUUCUAGAAGUCCUAGAUAAAUCUCUGAUAAUACCCUACGAGACCUAAGAAACUUUGAAUCUUUGAUGUGGUCCUCGGGACCUCCCAACGCAUCACAGCCUCGAUCUUGGCCGGUCAACCAAGAUUCCAUCCUGGUUGACAGAUUUCCCCAGAAACUACACCUCGCACAACCAAAACUCACAUUUGGAGAAUUUGGCAUACAGUCUCUCCCUCUUCAGGGUCACCAAAACCUCUCACAAGUGUUGCUCAUGCUGAUCCUUGUUCUUGGAGUAGACCAGGAUAUCAUCAAUGAAAACAAUCAUAUAGCGAUCCAGGAUCGGCCUAGAGACCAAGUUCAUGAGAUCCAUGAAUGUUGCAAGUGCAUUGGUAAGCCCAAAAAUGCAUCACCACAAACUUUUAAUGACCAUAAGGAGUUUUGAAGGUAGUCUUUUGCACAUCCUCAUCCCGGACUCUCAUUGGUUGGUAUCAUGACCGCAAAUUAAUCUUGGCAAACCAUGAUGCACCCUGAAGCUGGUCAAACAAAUUGUCAAUCCUCGGGAGUAGGUAACGGUUCUUUAAUGUUAGCUUAUUCAACUCCUGAUAGUCAAUGCACAUCCUGUGUGUACUGUCCUUCUUCUUAACAAACAUGAUAGGUGCUCCCUAUGGAGAACUUCUUGGAUGAAUAAAACCCUUGUUUAGGAGCUCCUACAGCUGCGUAGACAACUUCUAUAUCUCAAUUGGUUACAGGCGAUACGUCGCAUUGGCUAUUGAAGUCGUACCAGGUACCAAAUCAAUCUGAAACUCGAGUUAACUCUCGGGAAGCGCUCCGGGCAACUCCCCAGGAAAAACAUCAGGAAAAUCCCGCACAAUGGGUACCUUUCUCAACUCCGUCGUGGCCUUAACCUGUGUGUCAAAAACAUAAGCUAGAAACCCAGAACAACUCUAAUGCAGAUAUCUCAUAGCUCUUGCAACUGAAUAAAGAGCUGGUCCAUCCAAAGCUCUCUCACUAGAAAUAACUAGAACUCCCCCACUUUGGAUUCAAACUCACACCAACAUCCACUCACAAUCAGUCUCAAACCUAUUAGGGCCCAACUGAUCCAUCAUAAUGAUAACCUUCGAUCUUCUCAAGGGAAUUGACACAAAAUCAAUAGGAAACCGCUCAUUGAACAUGUUCAGAAAACAUCCACAGGAACCCUAGAAGCACUCAUGGUAUGGUCAUCCACAAUCUCCACAUCUAGAGGGGAAUCCAAAGUCCCCAUAGCGUCUCGAAACUUCUUGUUGAGCACAAGAGAUACGAAGGGUCGGGUAGCCCCCGAAUCAAACAGAAUAAGAGCAGACAAACCGUUAAACAAAAAGGUCCCUAUACAAGAUCAUAAUAAACAUAAGCAUAAACAAGGAAAACAAAAAAAGAUAGUGUUAUAACACAUACCAGGAACUACAUCCAACGCUGCAUGGGCCUCAUCUUUUGUUAGUUGAAAAGCCUUGAUCUUCACCACAUGAGCCACCACAUGUCAUGGCGGCCAUCGUUACUCCUCAAGGUGGAUGGCGCAGGAACCACCACUACUCCCCCAAAAAAUCUCAGACAAACCACCUUUUUAUGGCCAAUCUGAUUACAAUGACAGCAAAUUAGAGCCCUCUUGUGGCAAUCCCUGCUCACAUGACCCAAGUGGCCACAACUGAAACAUCAUGAACCUGUUGAUCGGCAAGCUCCACUAUGCGGCUCUCCGCACUUGGUGCAAUGGCCACAACCCUGUUGUCCUCUGGAGUAGGUAUCGGACGUCUUGGGUCUCUUAGCCUGACCCAAAACUGUCUGAACCUAUUCCUCGUCCGAUCUUCCAACUCAAUCUCCCGCUCGCGGACCUUCUCGAUCUUGUCAUUCAGGGUCCUGCACCCCAAGAAGCUCACAAACUCCCUAAUAUUGCCCCUCAAUAUAUCACAAUAUAUCUUCAUCUAAACCGUAUUGUGGAACAAACAAUAAUCUCUCCCUGAAUUUCGCGGUAAUCUUCUGCACAGUCUCUGUAGUCUGGAGAAGGUCCUGUAACUCCCUUGCCAGUUGUUGCACCUCUAUAGUUGGUGCAAACUCCCUCUGAAACGUCUAAACAAAAUACUCCAAUUUCAUCAUAGCCACUAUCGCCGACCCUACCACUCGAGUAACCUCAUCCCACCAGUUUCGCGCUCUGUCCCUCAUUAAGCAGGAUGCGAAUCCCACCUUUUCCCCCUCAGGCCAAAAACUCGUACGCUGAUCAUUCUCCAUGUUAGCGAUCCAACGAUGGCUAGAUAUAGGGUCCUUAACCCCAAAGAACUUAGGUGCUCCACAUGCCUUGAACUCCCGAAAUAAGGGAGUUCAUGCCCUAGCCUGCAUCGCAUGAAUCUAGGCUCGAAAAGACCUAAGCAGCUCCUCCAUGAUCUCCAAAAUCCCAUCCUUGACGGUAUCGAGGAUCAUGGGGUAGCAUCAACAAUACCCCAAGUAACCUUGGCUGCAAUAAGCUCGCACUGCCUCUCAUCAAUCGGUACUAAACCUAAGCCAGAACCUGAACCCGAUCCAGAGCAAGAACCAGUACCUCCCAAUCCCAAAUGAGUGGCUACCAUCCUCAAUCUAAAACACAAUAUAUAAACAAUAAACAAACAGUCAAGGGUAACUCUCAACACACAGGUACCCUUAGAAUCCCCAGAUCUACACUUAUCUCACAUACAUGUCAUGUGCUUCCAGCAGUACAGGCCCAAUACUACCUUCCACGCAUACUUUUACUUUCCUCGAGAUAAAUUUUGAACCCUCUAAGUUACCACACUAAACGCUAGAACAACCUAUGCUACAAAACAUACAUAUCCUAGACUCUUCUAGGAACUCUCAACCCUCAACACUAGCAAUACCAAGAACCUUAAUCAACACCAUUGGUUGCCUUAUGCGUGCAGGUUGUACACAAGAUAAGAUCAUAUAGACUGUCGAAUGAAGAUUCUACCCUAAGUCCACAACCAAACAAGGAACAUGAAAUGAGGCUAAAUCGAUCAUUCUAGGGCCAUACAAUCCUAAACAUAUACAACUUUGAAAGCAUACACAUAGCAAAUAACUGAGUCGGUAUCAACUCCAUGUAAUACAUGGCAUCAAUUUUUAUCGAGCUAUUAGGAAUCACACAAAUCAAGCAGUUCUAUCAUAUGAUUCUUGAAGGUAUCCUUAGUCCUAAUCUAGUAUGCAAUUUACAUAUCAAGUAUACUAAUCACAAUACAUAAGUACGGGUAACUUGGGAUACACUUACUUGAGCUCGGCUGAUUGCACGCAUUUCACUACCCUUUUUCUUAAAAGUGUCUUUUAAAUAAAUUUAAUUUCUUUUUGUUUUGGAAACAUUAUCAUUUCCUCAGUUUCAGUUCUGACACAUUCGAAAGUUUGCCCGAAUCCCUCAAACCAAGGCUCUAAUACCAACUUGUAACGACCCAAAAAUCAAGAUAAAAUUUUUCAUUUUAAAACAUGAGUUACAACCAUCCCAUUGUUCCAAAACCAUCACAUAAUCAAUAAUGCUAAACAUCAUAGUAUAAUAUCAAAAAUGCGGAAAUAGUGAGAAGAGAAUGGUGUGUCAUCACGUCGGGCCCUUCCCCUUAGUACCAGAAGUACGUGAAACCACAAAUAUAAACUGUAAGCAAAAGCUUAGUGAGUUUCCCCAAGUACCCCAUACCAAACAUAAAUAAGUUAGUGUUAUGGGCCAAACCAUAGUCUUACAAGCAAUUUCAUGUAGAGGGCAAAAUCACAGUCUUCCAUAUAGUUGCCAGGGGUCAGAUACUAGUCUUUCAUACACGUAUCUAAAAUAUGGCUAAAGCCCUAUAUCACAAAUAAUGAGUGGGCCUUGAUGCCUUUGUCCUAUUGAUACAGUGAGAAAACUAACCUCAGUUUGCUAAAACGUAACUAAAUGCUCGACUACCGAACCGGAAGAUCCCACACUAAACACAAACAAAUCAUUCAAAUAAUUAAUUGGUUAUAAACCAUAACCAUGGGCCAAAAUGCCAAAUCUAGACCCCUAAGGUAAAAGCCCAUUUACCUUUGCCAUAAUGGGCCUAACCAAAUUUGGCCUAAUAACACAAUAAUGGACUCCAAGGCCCAAAAAGGCCCAACUCAAUCAACUUAAGUCCCACUAACAAAAUGCUAAGGCCUAAUCAUUCAUCAAACAGUCCAAAGCCCAAAGUCAAAAGCCCAACCGAAUGCCAAAAACCCAAGGAAAGUCUGUGUGAGGCGUUCGCUUGGUGUAUGCAUUGUAUGCUUGGCGUAUUCGAUCACUAAUAUUUACGCACAAUGUACCCCUUGGUAUGCCUGGCGUACUAAGUUGUUUGCCACCUUAAGCCAAAAAGUGUUUAAUCCAUUCAACCAUAAGGUCCAUCUUUCAGAUCUCGUCCAUUUUAGGGUUCUAAUACAUAAAGUUUGCAAAUUUAUCUUUUAGCAUGUCUUAAUGACGCCCAACAUCAUUUUUUAUCGAUCAAGGCUCAUACUAAGAACUUAAAUUCAGGCAUGGGCUCAUAUCAACCAUCAAGAUGACAUUCUAUGCAACUAUAGCAGCAAAGGGACAGAGAUCUACCGCCUCUAACUCCUGGAGUUGACCAAACUCGCCAAGAGAACCAUGGGACCAAAUAAUGCUCAUUUUCAUGCCUUAAACUCUAACUAUCAAAUGCAUCAUCAAGGUAAAAACUUUUUACCUUCAAAAGCUCCCAAAGUUGAUGAAAACUAUCGAUAUAGAAGCUCAACCUCAACAAAUGCUUGGUCUCCAAGUUCCUUCUUCUUGAAAACACACAAAAAUGCCACAAAAGUCAUUUCAAAGCUCAACAACACUCAAAAGGAUGAACUAGGGUUAAAGAGGAUGUAAUGAAUAGUGGGGUUGAUGAGGGUGAGUGUCAAAAGGCCAUAAUGUUGUUUAAAUAGGGCUCAUACCUAAAAAAAUAGGGUAUGGUCUUGGCUAUCGUACGCCCUGCGUACGCCACGUACGCCCAACAUAUGUGGUUACGUUCCCUGAUUCCAUGCACACAUAUAUGCUAAGCAUACCAAAUGUACACCCAACGUACGAGGGGACCAUUUUUGCAAAAAAUUCAAAAUUAUAGGAGCGAACAAGAGCAUACAUGGAAUCGAAUGUUACAAUUUACUUCAUUUUUUUUUCAAAAUUCAGAAGUAUAAAACUAAAGUAACUACUUUGAUAAAGUAAGAAAAACCAUCACCAUCUAACAUAGUUUGUAGGUAAGAGAUUUCACAGUAUAUAUAUUAUAUAUAUUUUUUUGUAAGACAGUCAUGCACAACAUAAUUUUUUGCAAACAUUAUAUAUGCAUGUGUUUCCUAGUUAUUGAUACAUUAAAACUUACUCUACGCUCAAGCACUAUUAACACCUUCACCAAAUAUGUUUGUUGUUGAAUGACACUUUUCAAUACUUAGCAACGUAUAGUGGUGUGGUAUCCCUGUUUACAGAAUUAUGAGUGAUAGCAACAACUAAGAGUAUUUUUACUUUUUCUUUUCACAUUGCAUUUAUUUUGUCCCAUGUGUCUUGCAAAUUUUUCAUACUUUCACGAUCCAUCUCCAAAGCAUGUUGACUUUCUCUCUCAAGUUUAGUUCGUUUACAAAUGGGUGAAUAUGGAAAAAAUUGAUUUGAUAAUUGCAUUUUCAUCCGUGUAAAUUAAGAUUUAAGUAAGUGAUAGUGUGCACCAAUCUCACUUUAUAUAAGAAAGGUAUAAUGUAUAGUCCAUCAUUAUAGUCUAUAUUGCAUACGUUAUUUUUCAUGUUUUGGGAUACACGGUUUACAAAGUAUUCAUGUUUAGAUGCUUGGUGUCUGCAUACUUCGGGAGUGUAUACAUGUUUAAUAAAAGCAUUAACCACAAUUUACGCAAAGCAUUUUCAUAAAACAUGACCUUUAUGUUACAUUCAUUACGAUAUGUAGUUUUAAUUAAUUUCCUUUCCCCUUUAUGUCAAUAUGUUCUAACUGUCAGAAGAUCAUAUUGAUCACUUCUUGUGCCCCUCUUUCUCUCUCUCUUGCCCAAUGUCUUGUAGUCCGUCUUUCAGCAUGUCAACUAACACAAUUUAUGAAAUCAGACUACAAACACCACAUGACUUUGAAUAUGGAAUUUUAUAAUGAGAAACUAAUAGACCACAACACGUUUAUGGUGAUUGGGUUGAGAGGAAUGUUCGAAAGAAGCCAUUUUGGUUACCAUAAUAGUUUUUUUUGGAUUAUGUGUCUAAGCCAAUAACUAUAAUUGGUAUGCAUUUGAUUUGAUAGUAGCAUGGUCCUUUUAGGUUGCUGUUACUCAUGCAACUUGACAGGAUGACUCGUCGAGAGAGAGAGAGAGAGAGAGAGAGAGAGAGUAGGAUUUAUUAUUUGAAAUAAUAAAUUGGUACUCAAAAUGGUUUUAUUAAUAUAUUAUAAGAUUAAUAUAUUAUAUGGAAAUCAUAUUAUUAAUUAGUAUAUAACUAGAAAUUAAUUUGGUAUUAAUUUUGGGAUUAAAGGAACUCAUUAAUAAUGGAUGGGCGGUUUUGCAAAUCAAUAAUAGUUGUGAAACUGGGCUAUUGGACCCCUUAAUCAGGAGUGGGCGAAAUGAUAUAGGGAGGUCCUAUAGAUUUCGUCAAAGGCCUACUGGUAACAAAUCUAGGGGCUGCUUAAGCCUUAAGCAGGAAAUUAGGGUUUCCACUUGAAAACCCAAGCAACCCACAACUAUAUAACCCCCCCCCCCACCCCCACNGUAACCCACAACUAUAUAAAUCCCCGCAAGCAUUAGAAUUUUGGCCCAAUGCUUCAUUGAAUAACCCUAGCCAGUUUUCUAGUGUCUCUCCUCUCAUCUUGUUGCAUUGGGUGUUUGUGACUUCGUUAGAGGUGCAACGAUUGAGGCAUUAAGCUUUCAAGACUAAAGAUCAACAAAGGUGUUCUUGUGACUGCUAAAUAACAAGUGAGGUAACAUUCUAACCCUAAUUUCAUAUGGAUUUCGAAAUUCUAUGCUAGUUUUAGGGUUAUUGCUUUGCUAUUCAAUUUGCAUGUGCAAUUAGUGAAAAACUUUGAUCCAAAGCAAUUAGGGUUGCAUGAUCACAUAGGAAUGUGGAUUUGCUUAUAACCCAACACUGGUAUCGGAGCCUAGGAUGUUUUUCAAGUGAAAUGAUGCAAUAGUGAACUGUCUAAAGUAGCACAAAAUCGAUUUUUAGCUUUCUGUAGCUGGAACUCGACGAGUUUAGUAUCCAACUCAACAAGUUGACUCGUCAGUCCCCUAUUUUUUCAAUUUUAAGAUAUGGUUUUGAUCAGGAUAAUUGCCUUAUUUCAUUUUUAAUGCCUAAAAUCGAAUUUUCUAAAAGGUAAUAUGAUAUACUUAUCAAAAUUGAAGGAUUUUGUUGAAUUUGAGAUAAAUAUAAAAUUAUUUUGGAUAAAUAUAAAAUAGUUUUAUUUCUAAAAUUUAACCUAGUGUUUUGAAAACUUUCAAAGACACACCCUUUGGUUUUCUAAUUUAAAAUUUAAUUUAAUAGUUUUAAUUUUGAAAUCUUAAAUUUUAAAACCCUGGUAUUUUAAAUAGUUUAAAAAAUACACCCUCAUUAAUUUUAUUAAUAACUUAAUUGAGAGAUUAAUUAAAAGACAAUUAAUAAAUCUACAUAUGGUUUAAAUUUAACUAAAUUAAAAGUUUAAUUUAUUAAAGGAUUAAACCAAUUAGUAUUUUAAUAGUUUAAAAUACACCCUUAUACUAUAUAAAAUUAAAAUUUUAAGUAAUAUAUAUAUAUAUAUAUAUAUGUGUGUGUGUGUGUGUGUGUAAGAUAAGUCAGUCUUACCAUUAGUAGGCCUCAUUCACGACGCUGGUCUAUAAGGGGUGUUUAAGGAAGCAGCUUGUAAAAUGAUCGUCAUUGGGUAUCCACUUUUCCCCACCGCACUCUUGACUAGUGGAGGGCCGUUAGCCGAACGGGUAGGAUACAACAUUAUACUACAUUAAAAGUAUAAUGAGUUAUAAAGUAACUAAAUGCUUUUAUAAAAUUCUCAAUCUUAGUUAGUUUAGGAAAAAUAUGAAUUUGAUGCUAACCCAUGAAAUUGCACAUUGCACCUUAUUGGUUGUUAGUGGAGCGUGUGUGGUUAACCGACACACUAAUAUGGACUAAUAUUGUUGGCAAUGGGUUUCUCAUAAAUUAUCAUUGAUCAAUGAAGCUUGUGUCAUUAACCGACACAUUGAUUAGGAGAUGAAUGACAUAAAGAGUACCAAGCUAAUUUUCAUGGUUAUUCACAUCUCGUUUGUGAUUAUCGGCAUCCUAGUCACAUAGUGAUAGCAUAAUCGAGAUUAAAAAUGCCAUUGAGAAGUUCAAUGAAUCUCAAAAGAUCUAGGAAAUUCAUCUAAAACCUAAUUUGUAAAAAAUUUGGUUUUCGUGGUGAAAUUGGUAAAUUGUCAUUUACCUACUUUCGAAUAAUUUUCAAUUGGAUUACGACAUCCCUCUUCUGAAUUGUAAAUUCUUAUGUUGGGUCCUAGCUUUAAUAUUUCAUUUUGGUCUUAUAUUAAGGAUCUAAAUCACCUGACUUGAAUUUUCUCCCUCUUGUAGAUGUCUAGUUCUGACAACUCUAGUCUUCCUCAUCCUUUUGGAAAAAGCUUUCCGUCUGAAGAUGAUCUUCCACGUGUCGAUCAAGGUGAAAGAUCAUUCCCUUCUUUGUGCAUUGGUGGAACUGGAAAUCAUACUUCUCUUCCUCUACCUCCUCCAGUAAUUCUCCUGCCCCACAUUUUCGUCAACUUGAAAAGUUCAAGGUUACUCAAGCCCUGUUGGCAUGAAAAAACCAAGAUGGAAAGUCUAUGUGUGCAGAUGUCCUCAAGAUGAAGUCGCACAUUGACAUAUUAGGAAUGUUGGGUGUCGUUUUCCCAAGGGAGCUAGCUGUUGACUUGGUUCUUCAAUCGCUUCCUGAAUCAUAUAGUUAAUUCGUUAAUGAAUACUAUAUGAAAGACCAUGACGUGACCCUUAUUGAUCUGACAUAUUUGCUAAUUGUUGAUGAAGGGGAAAUGCUUGGCGCACUGGUCAAGCAAAUAUGUUUGGAGGAUCUAUUUCCCAAAGUUCCAUGGACAUUAGUGAUGGCAACAAUGAUAAUCCAAAAAUGGUUUCUCUUCCUAAGGGAGAGAAAUCAGCCAAGGUAAAAAUGGUUGGCCAUAAAAGAAAGACCGAUUCUGAGAUAAUUUCACGUGUCAUUCCUAAAGAGUCUAUUUGUCUCUAUUGUUGAUUGAAGGGGCAUUGGAAGCGAAGCUUCCCUGACUACUUGAGAGAUCAUAGAGAUGGUAAAGUCAAAUUGUAUGACUCUACUUCAGGUAAGUCCACUAUCUAACUCUAUUAAGUUCCUAUUUAUAGACUCUUAUUACAUGAUGUGUUAACCACAUUUUGAUGUUUUGUAGGAUCAAAGAGAAAAAAGGAAGCUUAAAGGAAGAGUUGUCUGAUUCUGAUAUGAAGAAAUGGAUUUUGGUCACACAGUUCAAUUAUCACGAUUCGGAGCUGCUAAUUAGGAGUUAUGAUAGAUUGCUUAGGAAUAUCUAGAAACAUAGAUUUCAUAUGUAUUUGCGUUGUAAGGAAAAGUUUUCCACACAUUAUUAAUAAAAUAAAUGUUUGUUUUAUCUUAUUUUCUUUAUGAUUACUUGCAAUGGUAUUUAUGAAAAUUGGUGUUUAAAUUUCUAUUAUUAGCAAUGUUAAAAAUGGAUUUGAUUCUUUGUUAUAUCACUUCUGGUAGUGUCAUAAUUUACCAAGUGAGGAAGGAUUUGUAUCACCCAAGUUUAAUUGGACAGAAACUUAGAGUCAUGCGAUUUGGAUUUUGUGAUGUAUGAGAAUCUUGAUCUUUGGUAAAUUGAGAUUAAUUCCUUGUUCAUAUGUAUAUGUGAGUUAAGUGAAGGAUUAAAGGAUCUAGUACACAUUAAUGUGAACUGGUCAGAUUUACCACAAAGGACGAUAACUUCUAUUCGUCAUGAUUUAAUGUGGAUUCAGUAAAUAUGGUUAUGCUUACAAGAUUAAGUGUAAUUCUGAUACCUUGAAAAAGUUUCAAAGUACAACAUAACGAAUAAGAAGAAUCCAUUGGGCAAAAAGAUAGAAGUUUCUCCAAUCUGAAAGGAAAUGAGAGUACUUUAGUAUCAUGUUUUAUGAUCUUCCAAAUGGUUAUGGAACCAUGUCAUAAUUGAUCCUCUAAGGACACCUUAGUGCAUUUAUAUGAAUAAGAAGAGGAAUCAAGAAUUAUGGAAUGGUUAAAUCAAGAAGAUGAGUCAUACUUACUUCCAAAAAUGAUUUUUAGAGUUAUACUCUAGUUACUCCAAGUUGUACCUUGAGUAACAUGUUCUAAGUAGGUUUAUAACACCUCAUGAAAUGUGGAGUAGAAAUGUUUUCUUGCUCUAGCACAUUUGAAAUUGGUAUUUGUGAUGUUUUAGUUAAAACAAAUACCAUCUAAGACUAAUUAUAUGAAGUAUUUUCUUGAUAAGAACCCACACUAACUCUUGAAUAUAUCUUUGUCAAGGAAUGAUCCUUGAUAGAGAAUAUUUGUGAGGAAACGCUUUCACUUGUGGAUUUUAUAGGAGUGGUUAAUAUCAUUAGAUUUAGCAGUUGUGAUAAUUAUGUUCUCAAAUUCAAGUAUGAUUACGACAUCCCUUUUCGUAGUUCGAGUUGUGAGAAAUGGCAAAUAGUUAUUCGAGACUUAUUGUUAUAAGUUCUGAAAGGCUUUAGACACAUACAUAAGUUUUCUAAUGAAAGGUGUAUGAACUUGAGAAGUCUAUAUAAGGACUUAUCAAAGCACCACAUAUGAGAAAUCUGAAUUAUGCUAAGAAAGCCAAUAGGUAUUGAUUUCUAGAAGUCCAGCUGAUUUCUGGGCACAUGUCAAAGCUAGUGGGAGCAUAAUUAUUCUACUAAGUGUUGCAAGUAGGCAAUGCUAGUUGUAGGAAAUAAAGGUUAUAGAUUUGGAAGUUGCAAAGUUUGGAAGUAGUUUCGCUAUAAUAAGGCUUAUGGGAGAGGGAACUAAUACUUCAUUUCAAAUCUAAAAUUUUAGAUUGAAGGAUCUUAUAGAACUUACUCAUAAACAUAUAUGAAUAUCAUGUUGAAGUGAUUCAACAUAGGAGAUUUGAUAUAUGGUAAUAUUAUAGCAAGAGAAUGAUCUAGCAUCAUGUCCUUAUGUAAGACAUUAUGAGUUGAAUCCCAUAUGCGUAAAAUAUAGGAUCGAUUGCAUAUCUUAUAAUAUUCACUUGUUCUGAUUUUCUAAAUGCCUAGCGCAUUAAGAGGGAAAAAGGACUAGAACUUGAUAUGACUAAAGUUGUUAAACAAUUGUCAAGGACUAUCUGAGGUUCGCUAAUUGGUUUCUUGUGGACAACUGGAAGUAUAGUAUAAUUUUGGUAGGACUAUAUUGACAUGUUCUGAAUACAGGUAACUCUUGUUCAGAACUAAUAGUGAUAUGGGAAUAUCCAAAUGUUUCCAUAGCUGGAGUUGGUUAUUGAGAUAUGUGUGUGAGGUUAGUAAUUUUAAUGCGAGAAGGAUGUUUAAGGAAUGCUAUUUGAAUAUGAGACUUCGUUUCCAUGGAAUUGUUUUUGUAACAAAUCUCCAAUGGAAUACUUUGUAAUAUCAUUGGCAAAGUCUCUGUGACUUUGGUGCCUCGACAUUACAAAAGGAUCAUUAUAUGAAAGGUCAGACUCUAACACAUUCUAGUAGUGUCAAAAAUUUGGUAUUCUUACACUUGUGAUAAGGAUUUGGAAUUGUGAAAUGAGCAUCAUUGGAAAUGUGUUCAAUUGAUCUAUUUCACAAAGAAAGGACCAUAUAUAAACAUAGUGUGCGUGCUUGGAGCAAGUCAUGAUUGUUGUUUUAAUUCAAGCAUUAAUUUGAUUAAUGGAAACAUUAUACAAUGAAUAAAGUCUAGUUAAUAUGGUGAUUAAUUAAUAAAUGUUUUAUUUAUACUUAAAAGUUUUAGACCAUAGUUAAUUAGGUUAUUCUUGUGUUUCACUUUGCAUGUUUUACUUCCCGAAUAACUAGGUUAUUCAAACAUCCACAAUCAAUCAUACCUUUGGAAGUAAGUAGUGAAUUAAGACUAUCAAGAAUCCGAUGGUAGAUUGUCUAAGAGUUUAGACAUGGAACAAGUUUGUUGUUGUGUUCAUGAGUACUCUUGAAAUAGAAAUUUGAGUAUUGGAUUAGCCCACACUCAGUGAAUUACUUCAUGGAUUUUAUCACGAGUAAGUCUGAGAUGAUAGUAUCUUAUAUUCUUGAAACGAAGACAUAUGAUUUGUUUACAAGUCGGUUGUGCAUUGAUAAUAUGUAAAUGCAUCAGUAACUUGAUGUUAUAAAACGUAUUGUUGUGUGUGAUUUGAUGAGUAAAUAGUGAAAGAAUAUGAGUCGAAGUUUAUCCGUUCCUUUUACCCUAAAUGGGAUAAAAGCGAUAUUUGUUGGCCCCACGAUGAUUUAGUGAUGACACCCUAAGCGCUUGGCCAAGCAUGGACUAAGUUGAUGUGUUCAAUUGUAGUCCGAGUUAGUCAUCAUGAAUCGGAAAUUGGGAAACAAACCUUGGACAUAUAGAAUGAGUAUAAUCCAUGUCUAAUGUCUAUACGAUAUCUUGUAGAAUAGUGGGAUAUUUGAUCACGUAUCUAAAGGAUGUGUCAUUAAUUAGAUCAGAGUUUGACAGCAGCUUUUGAAAGCUAAUAUUGUUGGUCAAAUUUUGAAGUCAUACUUGCAAUAAUAGUUAUUACAUUUAUCCAAGUGGGAGACUGUUGUAUUAGGUGUCUAAACUCAUAACUAUAAUUAGCAUGCACUUGAUUUGAUAGUAGGAUGGUCCUUUUGGGUUGCCUUCACUCAUGCAACUUGACAGGAUGACUGGUGGAGAGAGAGAGAGAAAGAGAGAGAUAGUAGGAUUUAUUAUAUGAAAUAUCAAAUUGGUACUCAAAAUGAUUUUAUUAAUAUAUUAUAAGAUUAAUAUAUUAUUUGAAAUCAUAUUCUAAAUUAGUAUUUAAUCAGAAAUUAAUUUGGUAUUAAUUUUGGGAUUAAAGGAACUGAUUAAUAAUGAUGGGGCUAUUUUUGUAAAUCAUUGAUAGUUGUGAAACUGGGCUAUUGGACCCCUUAAUUAGGAGUUGACGAAAUCAUAUAGGAAGGCCAUAUAGAUUUCGUCCAAGGCCUACUGGUAAGAGGUCCAUGGGUUGCUGAAGCCUUAAGCAGGAAAUUAGGGUUUCCACCUGAAAACCCUAGCAGCCCAAAACCAUAUACCCCCCCCCCCCNNNNNNNNNNNNUCGACCCAAUGCUUCCUUGAAGAACCCUAGCCGGUUUUCUAGUGUCUCUCCUCUCAUCUUGUUGCAUUGGUUAUUUGUAACUCCAUUAGAGGUGCAACAAUUGGGGCAUUAAACUUUCAAGAGUCAAGAUCAACAAAGGUAUUCUUGUUAUUGCUACAUAACAUGUGAGGUAACAUUUUAAUCCUAAUUUCAUAGGGAUUUCGAAAUUGUAUCCUAGUUUUAGGGUUAUUGCUUUGGUAUUCAAUUUGCAUCUUCAAUUAGUGAAAAACUUAGAUCUAAAACAAUUAGGGUUGCAUGAUCAUAGAGGAAUGUAGAUACGCGUAUAACCCAACAGUUUUUCUCAUAAAAAUGAACAUUUCGGAUUCCGAUUAAGAAUUAUAUAUUUCGGACUGAAAUUCUAGAUUUUGAGCAAAUAACUUUAGAACUUCUAGUUCAAAUCCGAAAUCGGAUGAACAAUUUCACAAUUUCGAGAAAAAAUAGUUUGUUUUUUUACAAGAUUUCAACAAAAAGUUAAAUAAACAUAGCAAAUGAGAAAUGUGUGUGUGUGUAUAUAUAUAUAUACACACACACACAAACACACACACACACACACAGAGACGAUACUAUGGCCUAAAACUGUUCAUUUAACUAAAAAUGGUGAUAUUAGACUCUUUAAAAUGAACAUUUCGAACAUGAGUUGAGAUUUUUUUUUAGUUUUGUGCAAAUGAAAACAUAGUCUAGAAUUUCAAGAAUAAGUUUGUAAUGUAGCAUUUCGGAUAAAAUACGGUUAUUUUUCAAAAACAAUAAAAAAUGGUUAUUUUUAUUAAUAAACUCCUUUAUAAGGGUUAAUAUAGUGAAUAUCUCUUAGGUGUUGUUUUUUUUUUCUUCUGAGGCAAAAUGUAUGUAGUUUGUGGACUAUAUCUGCAAACCUCUGCAGUAGAAAAUGUGUACCAAAUAUCUACAGUCUGAAAGAAAAAGAUUGUUUGUUUUUUAACAUCUGCAGGGUGUUAGAAUAAAUUAAAAUCUAAUUAAAUUGAUUUUAAAAAAAAAAAACCUUAAAAGAGUUUUUUUUUUAUAAUUUUAUAACUUUAUCAUAGAUAAUUAACAAAUAUGGAUUAACUUUAAUGCACCACUGUAUAAAAAGUGAAAAUAAAAUGGUAAGAAUUAUCGUAUAUAUUUGAUAAGAACCAAUAAACUUUGAUUGGAAAGUUAUACAUAAACAUUAUAAUUAGGAAUAAAAUAAUUUAACAGAUAACAAGAAUGGAGAUAAACUUUGAUUUUAAAUGAAAAUUCUCAAAGUUUUAUUUUACUUUUUCAUUUGAAUUUAUUAGAAACUAACCAUAAAUAUUUUUCCCAAGAAAUAGAUGAUACUGCAUUAAAUAAUNNNNNNNNNNNNNNNNNNNNNNNNNNNNNNNNNNNNNNNNNNNNNNNNNNNNNNNNNNNNNNNNNNNNNNNNNNNNNNNNNNNNNNNNNNNNNNNNNNNNNNNNNNNNNNNNNNNNNNNNNNNNNNNNNNNNNNNNNNNNNNNNNNNNNNNNNNNNNNNNNNNNNNNNNNNNNNNNNNNNNNNNNNNNNNNNNNNNNNNNNNNNNNNNNNNNNNNNNNNNNNNNNNNNNNNNNNNNNNNNNNNNNNUAUAUAUAUAUAUAUAAAAGAUAAUAUUAUAAUUUUUUGCAUAUCUAUAUAAACAACUCCACAAAUUAUUAUUGUAAUUAAAUAUUUAUUUAUAAAUUUGACACAAAAGUCAUGAUUGUGUUAUCGAAUAUUUUUUUCUUUCAGUAUUCUAACAUUUUUUCUAAUUUAUUUAUAAUAGAUAAAGUUAGAAUAAAUCUAAGUUUAAAAAAAUAAAGAAACUACAAAAGUAUAUGUGUUUUUUUAGGUUAGAAGAUGUCUGAAAAGGUUUAAAGAUUUUGGUCCACAUCUAUGUUAAGAAGAGGACGCACUAACAUUUUUUGGUCUGCAAUCUUAAAAAAGAACAAACAGUCUACGAAGUCUAAUGUAUGUGUGUGGUCUGUACGACGCAGUGUGGUCUGUACGGCACAGAUAGAAAAACCAAAGAAGAUCACAAAAAACAAACAAUACCUUACACAUGCAUCCACUAUGCUACUUUUAAAUCUACAUCUUUCAUCCACAACAUGACUUUAAUUUUCAAUCUUUGGUUCUAUCCGUCAACUCCCGAUACCCCUACGCUUAAGGUCAUUUGAUAACGCUCCUACACUUAGUUUACCAACAUUUAAAAUAAAAUACAUGAUUUAAAUUCAAUUCGCGGUUUUUUAAUAUUCCACAGUUCAUCAUUAUUUCAUAGCGGGAUGAAAUCACUUUCGCGGAAAUCAAUAAAAUAUGUGAUGUAUGUUGUUAGAAAAGGUGGCUUCUUUAAUUUGAAAAUCUUUUUCGUGAGUUAUAUGGUCAUAUUAUGAUAUUUUUUUAGUAUAUGUAUUAUUGAAAGAUAUGAAGCGUCCGAUAUGAAUAUUUUUAGUGAAUAACUUAAGAAUAAAUCUCAGGUCCAUUUUGUUGGUUUAAUGGAAAUGUCUUAUAAACAAUAUAAGGUGCACUUAAAAUAUCACCAAUGUCUUUUUAUGAAAGAGACAAACGGCCUCCUAAACGUUAAAAGCAACAACUAUCGGACAUCGAAAAGCAUAUGUAAUAGAUUCAAAGAAUUGGAACGUAUCGAGUUUGGAGAAUAAGAUUUUGGUUGUCGGAUAGAAAGUGAACAUCGUAGAAAGGAAAAAGGGAAGUAUCACAGGAUGGUGGGGUAAGCAUUAUCAUACAAACCAACAUGCUUCCGACAAAUGUUUCCUACUGUUUUUGGUGUCCAAUUUUAAGGUUACAUAAUUUUAGUUUAAUAGUAAUGAUAGAAACUUCUAUACAUACAACAAAGCGCUUUGUGUUUGAUUUCGUCUAUUUUAUAAUUUCUAUUGUAAACAUAUAUCAUUUUUUAUAUUGAAGUAUAUUUUAUUUGAUAAAUGUAUAUAAUAGUAUAUUCUGAAUUUAUAAACUCAAUAUACCUAAAAUUAGAUGUCAUAGUGGGAAAAAAGAGUUUUGAGGCGUAAUCCGCAACCGUGACUUUGUUGCACCGAUUGUGUGAUCACUAUGUUAUUACUUGGAGGGGGUCACGCUUGAGGGAGGGUGUGGUACGCUUAACAGGAUUUGUGAUUUUUUGGGUCACCCUUUGACAUUUUUUCAUGCCCGAAGACAUGGAUGUUGACUAGCGUUUGGAUGAUUUGCCUUUGUUGUUUUUGCGGAAUUCAUGAUGAGUAUCAUUCAUGAUGAACAACAAUGAGAAUGGAGGAUCGGUGCAUAGAAGAAGACGAAUGCUAGGAAGGUAAGAGAAGGGCGUGUUGGUGAGUGUUUGAACGAGAAAAAUAGAAACCCUGGUAUAUAUAAGCCAUUGAUACGAUGUUGGUAACUUUCUAUUUACAGACUUUCCACCAUGUAUGGAUUCAUGUGCAAUUUCGACAUUGUGGGAAUCAAGAGAUAGUAGCAGAUGUAAGUUACGAAAACUUUUCUCUUUAGUCCGCUUGAGGUAACUCAAUAUUUCAUGCAAUUUCGACCUUGUGGUACUUUUUUUCAACCAAAUGUACACUUUUUUAUUGGUAAGUUAAGGGUUGUCACCUUGAGGUAACUCAAGAUUUCUAGCAACUUUAGAAAACCACCUAAGUUAAGUUGUUGGGGAUACAAAUAAUAUAUAAUCCAAAAGACUCUCCAAGUUCAACCAGAUCUUAAGCAGCAAAAAAGACAACAUAGAAAGAUAGAAACCAUACCCUCAAACUUUUGAAAUGUCCUUGCUGAUUCUAUGGAUGCCUAGAGCCUAAAGUUGGAUUCAUUUUCCAUUGUCAUACCUAGGAAUCGAUUCAACAAUACUCGACAUGUCACUUCAGCUACUAAACACAUUUAACUCAAGCUUAAUACCCUUCUAACGGUGGAAGACGCAUGUUCAAAAAACCUUUUGGGUGAAAAGGUGACCUCAAAAAACAAACUUUGGUGAACUCACAAAACUUAUGAAAAACGUAAAUCAAAAGAAUACGAUAUUUAGCGUGGUGAGGUCAAUGAGACCUACGUCUACGGGCGAACACGAGAGAGAGAGAGAGAGAGAGAGAGAGGAUUUUAUUAAGUUUCUAGAAUUAUUACAAGCACUCAAAAUUGUAUCUCAUUUUAAGCUCUCACAUAAAUCUAGCGAUUUACAAUGAUGGGGGUAUGAGCCUAUUUACUUGAGGGAUCAAACUGAUGGGUUUUGAGCAUUCUAACACUCCUAAGUGUACAUGCAACCCUAAAUACCUUGAAUCUAUGUUUUCUCUAAUAUACAUGCAAAUAUAAACUUUCCAAGGUAUUCAUCCUAACUAGCAUAAUAACAUUGAUACAUUUGAAUAUCUCAAGUUAGAAUUACAUACCUCUUUGAUGUAGAAUGUCUUCAUGAAUCUUGAGUGCCUAGUGCCCCAAGUGUGACACCUCAAAUGGUUCACACAACACCAAAUGCACAUGGAAUGACUUGAGAAAAAUGGAACACUUCAUAAAAUCGGUUAGCCCUUAUUUCUCACACAUAGUGUCCGAUUUCUUUAGCCAUGAGAUUCUUUUAUAUGGUGGCUAUUAGGGUUACUCCAUGUAACUCAUAACUUUACCCAUUCCUUAUGCUCCAUGGAUUUUAACCUCCAUGGAGUAUCCAUCGGUCACCCCCAUGGACUUAGUCCAACAAAAGGAAUCUUGGAUCACAAGCCCGCAUAUAUAAGAACGAAUGAUUUACACAAUCAUCCCAUAUAUUUAAUUAGUCUCCUUUUGAUUACUUAAUUAAUUACAAAUUAAUUCUUGAUCAAUACUAAUUAAAUAACCUUAUUAAUAUAUUAGAACUUAUAAUAUAUUGUCAGACCCCAAAACCGAGAACGGCGGAAACGUUCUGGGGCGGAGGACAUCAUGUAAUGUAUCACAACAAUGUAAAGCAGUAAACAAGAAACAACAUCAUCCAUUGCAUUAAUAGUAUAAUUUUAGUUACAAGUGUGCUCUUUCAUAAGAUACAACAAUAAAAUGAAUAAUCAGAAUAAGACGAGUCUCUACAAGUAAGUGUAUCUAUGUAAGUGUAUCUAUGUGAGUGUACCCAAGUAAGUGUAUCCAAGUAAGUGUAUCUCUACAAGCAACAUGUAUUCGUAUGGAAUCAUGAAUGAACUGAAUCUUGUGUAAUUCCUUGUAAUAGGAAUAGCAAGUAGUAUCUCCUAACUAUACCUAUAAUAGUUACUAGAAAUGUACAAGUAUCAACGAAAGUAUACCUUUGCUAGCCAAAGGUACUGAACUGACUGAAGGCACUUUUAUGUCUACAUAUAUAUACAUAAUAUAUAACGAAUAUUUAGACGACAUUCGGACGGAUACCCGAUACCCUACCAGACCACAUCCCAACAGGGAAAAGGAAAUAAAGCGGGUUAGCCUUCCUAAGUCCUUUAAACAUUUCUUAUAUAACUAUACAUAUGUGGGCAUGCAUUUGAUAAUAUAAAAGCAUAAAAUAAGUUUUGUAAAACCUUUGAAAAAGAUUAAUACUAAGAAAAGAUCGACUUGAUGUCAGUUUAUAAAACGGUUUGAAAGUAUUUGUCAAUUUUUUUAUUUAGCCAUUUUUUUUAUUAUAACUAAUUUUUUUUAUUAAAACCAAUUUUUUUAACACCAAUUUUUGCCACAACCUACCUAUGGAUUGUCACAUUGGUUACUUCAUGCCGGUUAUUAUUAUUGGAAGAAUAUUCCUACCGCAGUCGGACUUCAUAUUAUCUUUUGUGAUUCUUGCACCGCAACGGCGAUGGAUCAACAAAGUUGUUUCGCAUUCUUCACUUUAUGGGAUAUUAUGACUUGGCGCUCUUGAUUUUAGGUUGACGAAUCAUGUAUCUUGAGCAUGUGGACUUUAUUCUCUAUUGAAGACCACUUCAAGUGUUCCGGCACCGCAGUUUGGAUAUUUGGAUAUAUUUUUUGCACAACAGAUUUUCUCAGCACACUUUCAGCAACUAUUUCACCCGCUUUCUCAUGACCGCAAGAGUAUUUAUUUUACUCUUUAUCAUUUCUUAUCGAGACCCUUCAUACAUCUAGGGAGAGCUUAUCUUAGCUCUUGGUAUCCGACACUCUCCAUCCGAUGAUUUGUUGAUUUUUGAUAUCCGGUCAUUGGUUAUCAAAAAUAGGGAGAGAAUAUCAUCCAGAUUUGAUUAUUAUUCUUUGUGUUUGGAUUCUUAAAGACCUCUAAAGAUGAUUAUUUAUUUAGUGAUGCGAUGUGGCACUUAUUUUUGGUCUUCACGGAUCAAAUUUUUGGCAUUACUCGAUGUUUUCCGAUUCAGAUUAUUUAUUAUUCGGACUCUACCACAGGAUGAUUUUGUGUUCGCAUCUAGUUCAGAUUUUAUGGUUUCACGAGUUUGGAUUUGUGAUAUGUUGAAGACGAAGAUUAUUUUGGCGAUGUGACGUGGCACUUAUUUUUGAUCCUUGGAUCAAAUUUUUGGCAUUGCUGGACCAUGUUUUUGGACUCACGUUAUUUUUAUACGGACUACAUUUUAUGGAUACUUCACAUUUUUAGCAGAUUAUUCUUUGAAGAAUUUUGGUGUAUUAUGAUUCGAGAACUCGAGAUGUUUUUUAGACAGAAAACGAAGUGUUUCUUUUAUUGGAUCUUCUACUUGCUCAUGGUGACCUCCUUCUUUGGGUGAUUAUGACUGGGUUGAAGAUUUGGAUCUUAUUUUUUCUGCUUCAUUGGUUGUGCUUUGAAGCCGAAGAUCUUCAUUUCAGAGAUUCAUGGCCAAUUUCAGACUUCACAGACACUUCAGAGUUUCAGAGAUAUUUCAGCACUUGAUUUCAUUUUAUUACCACACUUGCUAGUUGGAUUACUGUAUUAUAGCCUUGUAUCACUUAUUGUAUCUCUCAUCAUAUGUAAGCAUUUAGGGAGAGAAUGUUGGUGCAUGGAAAUGCUCCACAAAUAAUGAGUGUUUAUUAGGUUAUAUUUUCCCUUUAUUGUAUUUAUGGUGUAAAUACUCUCCCUCCUAUAUAAAAGGGAGAGUUGGUCAUUUAUUUCAAAAAGUUAAGCUAGACAUUCUUACUUUUCUUAGUUAGAUUUACAUUUCUCACAAUGUAAUUCUAGAGAGAGAAAGUGGUGGGUUCUCCCCACCUAGGGAGAGUUUCUCUCCCACCAUGUUUUUCAUGCAAUAUUAUGAUUAUUCUCUCUUGUUCUUACUUCUUUUUUAUGAACUCAUAUUAUGUUCUUCGUGUUCAUACUUCCAAAAACACGAUUAAUUUCGAGAUAUCUUUCUGCCGCAUUCACCGUUCAUUCGAAAAAGGGGUCUCUACAGUUUCCAAGGCAUUAAACAUAUAACUAGCAUACAUUUGACAAAAACCAUAUAAGAUGCUAGUUAGGGUAACAUACCUUUUAUGUAGCUUGAAGUUUUGAUGUACUGGCCUUAAGGGCUUAGCCCCAAUAUUGUGGAAGCCUCAAAUGAAGUCACAACACAUCAUGGACAAAGGUGACUCUUCAGAGAGAAUUCAAUGCAACAAAACACCUCCAUAUUUCUCUAAGAAAAGAAGCACACGUUUUUGGUCAUGAAGCAACAUAUUUAUAUGGUAAAUUCUGAGGGUCAUGGGUUUAACCCAUAACCACACCCAUGGGUUUUAUGAUCGAUGGUUCAUGUGGCCCAACUCGUUAUGUGUCCAUACAUAAACCUUGUCCAACAUGAAUCAUAAGCCCAACUGCAACAUCCAAAAAUACGACCCAAAAUUUUUUGUUUUAAUAAUAAUAAAAAUCAUAUGCUGAACGUCGUAUCAUAAAACCAUACAUCAAAUAUCUCAAAUCAUAAUAAAAUUUCGUGAAACAACUGUAUCAAAUCAAACUAUGAAUCAAAACAAACUCCCAGGACAAAGACUGAAGAUGUGGUGUGUGCGAUGCCAUCAUCCUAAGCUCUUCCCUUUACUUGCGGAAGUACCUGAAACCAAAACUGAAACUGUAAGGACGAAGCUUAGUGAGCUCCCCCAAACUACCACAAACCAUACAAUACAUAUAAAUCACAUACUGGGCCUUGCCCACUGCAUCAGACCGAAGUCCGGAAAGUGCAUCGGACUGAAGUCCGGAACUGACUGGGAGCUUGUCCCCUGCAUUGGACCGGUGUCCGAAACUAGCUGCAUCGGACCGAAGUCCGGAACUGACUGUAUCGAACGGAAGUCCGGAACUAACUGUAUCGGACCAAAGUCCAAAAAUGAUUGAUCAAAGCAUAGCAUAAACACAUAUCAACUAGCAUAACACAUAUCAUCUAACAUAAAUAGAUAUACUGCAUACUGCAUCAGGCCAUAGCCCGGAACACAUAACACAUAAAUCCUGUCUGAGCCGCGAAGGCAUCAAACACACUGUCUGCUGCAUCGGACCGAUGUCCGGAAACUUCUGCUAGCUAAUUGGGUCGGUAUUGUGGCCGUAGACCCGUUCCUACUGGAAGGAAACUCACCUCGUAAUCUGCCUGCUGAAUGAACUGCUCAGGAAACUGUCUGUUGCUGCUCCGGUAUCUCCCCGACUAUAAUUUCCAUAAGUACACUCAAUCAAUCACUGAUAGCUACACUGAGGGUAAAAUGACUAUUUUACCCAUGGUCAAAGUCAACCUAUUGGUCAAAGUCAACAUACAGUUGACCUGACUCGUCGAGUUAGGUCACCAACUCAUUGAGUCCUUACUCUCACUUUCUUGCUUCUGCUCGCUACUACUCGUCGAGUUUGGCAUAGACUCGACGAGUUCCUCUUCGAUACUAACACUCAGUCAAUAUGCAUCCGACUCGCCGAGUUGUAUGAACAACUCAUCGAGUCCUCCUUCAACACAUGAACACUCUGGCUGUGACUCGCCGAGUUUUAUGAAAAACUCUUCAAGUCUGUUCUUGAGGUAUAAAGAUUGCCUUUGACUCGUCGAGUCAGGGCAUUGACUCACCGAGUCCCUUCAUGAAUGAGUCCGAUCUCCGACUCACUGAGUCCACCCAUAAGUCAUUGAUUCCACUCGGCAUGACCCAUGAAAGGGGAAGAAAUCGGGGACUCGCGACCUGACUCGCCGAGUCUGAAGAACAACUCGCCGAUUCGGUUGCAUACAACACUACUCCGAUGAUUCUGCUCAAAUCUAAUGCAUACAACUUAUAGAUUUGGGUUCAUAAAGCAUAGUUACCAUAUAAAGUUUCCAACUUUACGUGUACAUAUGCAUGAAAAUGGAUUUAAAGGCUAAAAACACACUUAAAGGAAUAGAUCUAGGGCUUUCAAGCAAGAAGGCUCCAUAAGGGUGUUAGAUCCACGACUUAGGGACUAAAACAUGACUAGACCCGAAGGCCAAUCACCCCAAUGUGAUCUCUCUACCAUAAAUAAGAUAAGGAAUGGAUUAAAUGGUCUAAAUGCGAUUCAAAAAUGGAGAAUCAAACAUAGAAACAGAGGGAAUCCGAUUUUUACCUCAAUAACUCUGUAAUAGCUGAAAUGUAACAGCCCGGAAUUCCAGGUAUUGUUAUAUUUAUGAUUUUGGGUAUUUUAAGAGGGGACUCGGCGAGUUGGAGCUCAGACUCGCCGAGAAGGAUCGCGGAUCUGGUCGCGGGUUCGCGACUGGACUCGGCGAGUCCGGAUAUGGACUCGGCGAGUCCGCGCUAUUUAGCGAAACCCUAACUUCCCAGGUUUGGGACAUAUAUAAGGGGCCUUAUGGACGUCAUUGUUCACCCUAGUCCUUUGAGUGAAACCCUAAUUCGAUUGUGAGCAUCUGGAGCAAGGUAGAAGACCAUUAUUGUUCUUGGAAGUAUUAUUUUGCAAGGAGGAGGAGGCUUGGUUAAGGGAACAACAGGAGAAGCCAUAUUCUGAGGGUUGGGGACACAGAGCAACGUUAUUCAGGUAAUAUUUUCGAGUUGUUCCCUUCUAUGUUGAUGUGUAUAUGGAUUUAGGGUUUAUUGAACCCUUUUGUGGCUAGAUUGAGUGUUUCCUUAGUCCCCCAAGCGAUUGGAACCCUAUAUUGGGACCCUUGGAAGUCCAGAGUGUCCCAUGCCUGAGCUUUUCGGGAAUCAAUGGAGGUUUUGGAUUGGAAUCCUUAUGCCUUAGGUCAAAACGUCAAUUAUGAGUCAUGGGGUGUAUUAUGAGCACCGAAAUAAGGACUUUACGUGAUGAACCAGUCUAGGAAGGCCAGACCUAUGAAUUGCCGGAGCAGAUCUGACCUUAGAAAGCAGUUUGAGCGGUUGCAUGGCAUGGACUCGCCGAGUCCGAUGAACAGACUCGGCGAGUAGCUUGAAGAUUGCCUUAGAAUGGUCCUGUCCGGGUUAUGGGUUGGAUCGGUGAGUCAGGGCGAGUUAGAGAGGGUUAACAGGUGGUCUGAGUCGAACUGGGACUCGCCGAGUUGUUCUUCAGACUCGGCGAGUUGAGUCGGGGUGGCCCCGCGAUUCUUCCAGGAGGAACUCGUCGAGUCAAGGGGGAUACUCGACGUGUAGAAAGGGAAUCUUAGAGAAUUGGUGAGAACGUCUAGACUCGCCGAGUCGCCCUAGCGCUCGCCGAGUCCGGUCAAAGUUGACCGUUGACCGUUGACCAGAGUGGACCUGUGUUGACUUCUUAGGGAUAGUCAACAUUAGAGAUAUAAAGUGUUAACUAGGGACGUAUGAUGUUAUAGGAGGAUUAGAGCUCGGAGAAUCGGGCACGAGGGAUUCCCAGGAUUGUGAGAUAUCGAGACACGCGAGGUGAGUCUUCUCACUAUACUUUACCUUGAGUAGGUAACCAGAGUUAUAUGAUAGAGUAUUUGUAUGCUAUGUAUGUUAUGUGUUGCACUGCAUUCUUCUAUGUGAUUUAUGCUAUGCUUGUUUACAGAGUUAGAACCUGAGGGUUCACAGAGUAUGGGUGCACGGACCCACAGAGUUAUAGCCUCGAAUGGCUAAUAUGUGUUAUGUGGUAUUUUGGGGAACUCACUAAACUUUAUGCUUACAGUGUUGGUGUUAUUUGUUUCAGGUACUAGUGAGGAUCGCGGGAAGGCGUCGGCCUGAUCAGUGCACACACGCGGGAUUCUAUAUUGUGUGAUCUUGGGGUUUUUAUAUGUUAUGAAAUGAAUUACAAACAAUGAUGUUUUUAUGAAUAUUAAAUGAAGUUUGUCUUUAUAAAAUGCGAAAAAUUAUUUUUAAAUUCUUGGUGUUACAUGAAAGAUCUUGGAUCUCCUUCUACUCCCUUGGAUCUAGCUUCCUUCUUCUCUUCCAAAACGUCAAGAUUCACACAAUAAAUGCUUAAAAUGCUCAAGGAAAGGUUAGGGUUUGCUAAAUGAUGCUAUGAGGGUGAAGGGGACGAGGUUGGGGCUCAUAACAUGAUUUAAAUAGGGUGCAAAACCCGUGGAUUUAGGGUUUCAUUCUGACUGAUGGACUCGCCGAGUCCCGAACUUAAACGUGCUCGAAAUCCCGUCUCUACUCGACGAGUCGGGCUACUGACUUGUUGAGUCCCUCUUGAAACUUGAAUAAAUAAUAAUAUUAAAUAACAUACCAAAAUCGGGGCAUUACAACUCUCCCCUACUUGUCUCAGACUUCGUCCUUGAAUUCUACUGCUGCUGCAUCUGGGAACAACUCUGGGUAGUGCUCCCUCAUCUCCUCCUCUNCCGCCCACUCACCCCUUCCGGUCCUGCCACUUCACCUUUACCAACUGAACCACCUUGUUCCUCAAGGUCUUCGUCUUUCGAUCCAAGAUCGCAAUCGGUCUCUCAAUAUAAUUCCGGCUGCCAUCAACUUGAAUGUCCUCUAAGGGUAUGACUGCUGACUCGUCCACCAAACACUUCCGCAACUGGGAAACAUGGAAAGUGUUGUGGAUCUGGCUAAGCUCUGCCGGAAGGUUCAACCGAUAAGCGACCCGACCCACCCGGGCCAAAACCCUAAAAGGACCGAUGAACCUAGUGUCGGAAUAGUGUCUAAGGCUGCAACUAUAUUAGGCAAGUAUUUGACCCGGUUGUGCAUGGUCCUUUUGGGUUGCCUUCACCAUAGGAACUUGACAGGAUGAUUUAUUAUGAGAGAAUAAAUAUUAUUAAUAUAUUAUGAGAAUAAUAUAAGGAAUAAUAAUAUUGUUAUUUGAUUAAUAUAAGUCAUAAAUUAAUUAGUAUUAAUUUGGUGACUUAAAGAGAUUAAUUAAAUAAGAGGGUAUAAACUGUCAAUUGUUUGAUAGUUACACUUUAGACUGUAAAUCCUUAUUGGAUAGAGGAUGGACGAAUUCUAGAAGCUAGGGAUAGCUUAAAAUCGUCCAAGGUUAUCUAAGGAAUGGAUUUGGAUUGCUUUAAGGAAAGAUUAUCCAACUAGGGUUUAAGCUGAAACCCUUAAGGAGUCUACAAGUAUAAAUAGACCCUCUGGCCAAGGGAAUUCGGCAUCUCAUCUCAAGUAGAGAACCCCUGGCCGAAUUUCCUCCCCUCUCCUCUCUCUCAAAUCAUCCUCCUUGCUAGUUGGUGUUUGUAAGCCAUUAGAGGAGUGACAAUUGUGACUCUAGAGCUCCAAGACAACAAGAUCAAACAAGAGAUUCAAAGGUAAACUUCUAGAUCUGAUUUUUUAUUGUUCUUAUACCUAAUUAGUCAUUAGAAGUCUUGGAUUCAAAGCAUGUUUAAUUAGAAAGCCUAGAUCCAAGCAUUAGGGUUUUGCAUGCGCACAUAGGAAAGUUCUUAUGGCUAAAACCCAUCAGUGGUAUCAGAGCCUAGCUUGGUUUCUAUUAAAUUGUUGCUUGUUUGUUUGAAACUUAACUGCAAAAUUCGAUUUUUGUGUUUCUGAGUCAUGGACUCGGCGAGUUCCAUAGUGGACUCGGCGAGUUGGCCUGACUCGGCGAGUCCCUUGGUGCACUCGGCGAGUCCAAGCGUCAGGAAAGGCCAGAUUCGGGAUUUUUUGAUGAUUAUCUUAUGGAAACUUACCUUAAUCAUAUUAGAUCAACCCUAAUCCGAUUUUUUGAUAUAUAUGACUAUAAUCUUGAUCUAAUUAAAGAUAUUUAUCAACUAAUAAAAUAUUUAAUUUCCUUAUAUGAUAAUUAAUUAAUUAUUUUGAUUAAAUUGGUAAUUAUCUUGCAAGAAAUCUUGAAUAAAUCAAAUAUAGAUAAUUAGGAAAUUAAUUGUUAAUUAAAAUUAUUUGUUAUUUGAUCCUCCAUGUUUUAAAUGUUUAAAACUUGUCCUCAAGUUUUGAAAUUUAUGUUUUGUGAUUAAAAGUUUUAAUUUAGACAAUUUAAAUUUCAAACCCUAGAUUUUUAAAAGUUUAAAAUACAACCCUAUACUAAUAUAAUAUUACAAGAUUAAUAUAUAUAUAUAUAACUAUAUAUAUAUAUAUGUAUAACUAAAAUGCUAGUCUUACCGUUAGUAGGCCUCAUUCACGAAGCCGAUCUAUAAGGUGGGUAUAAGGUUGCGGCCUAUAAAAUGGCGCUUAAUGGGUGUACACUCACACCCACCGCUUGCUUGAUCGGUGGAGGGUCGUUAGCCGAACGGGUAGGAUAGGGCAACCUCAUCCUCUCAUUAAAAGUAUAAUAAGAAAUACAAAGUAACUACACAUAUUUUAAAAUUUCCCAAUCUUAGUUACUUUAGGAAAAGUGAAUUGAUGCAAUCCCAUGAAAUUACACUUUGCACCCUUGCUAAGAAGUUAGUGGAGCGUGUGUGGUUUACCGGCACACUAAUUGGUUCUAAGCAAAGGUGGCAAAGGGUGAUUCAUUGUUUAUCAUAGUUCGAUGGAGCGUGUGUGGUUUACCGGCACAUCGAAUAGGUGAUCGUUACAAUGAAGGCACCAUGUGAAUUUGCAUGGUAAUUCACACCCGCUUUGUGAUCCUCGGUAUCCCAGUCACAAACAAGAGGGGCAUAUCGAGAUUUAAACAUGCCAUUGAAUAGUUUCAAUGAAUCUCAUCCGAACCUAGGAAUUCUCAAUACAUUUAGGACUUAAAGUUAUGUUUUUAUGGUGGAGAAUUAGUGAAUCGUCAUUCACUUACCUUCAAAUUAUUUGCAUGUUAGAUUACGGCAUCCCUUUUCUAAUAUGUAAAUAUUGUUGUUGGAUCCUAGCCCUAAUUUUUCUUAUUGGGUGAUAAUUAGGGAUUCAUAUUCUAAUCUAUCUUUGUCCUUUCUAUUUGUAGAUGUCGAACGCAAACAACGCUGCUGCUAGUUCUUUCACAUUGAUGAGCCUUUGUCAAAAGGUCACUUUCGAUGGGACGAACUUUAGCGAAUGGAUAAGAUACAUUCGCACCAUUGCUCGCUAUGAGGAUAAGGAGUAUGUCCUCGAUGAGAAGCUCGAGAAAAUCAACCCUGAAAUCGCUACUCCGGCUGAAAUGACCGCUUUUGAAACUCAUGAGCGCGAUGCAACGAAGGUACAUUGCAUCAUGAUAGCCACCAUGAACUCCGAAUUCCAAAAGUCCUAUGAGGACAUGUACCCGUACGAGAUGCAUCAAGACUUAUUGGAGAGAUACCACCAAAACGCGAGACAAGAGCGUUAUGAGAUUUUCACUAACAUGAUUUCCGCUAAGAUGGGUCAUGGAGAGUCUCUUACCGUGCACCUGCAAAAGAUGCAAAGGUAUGUCGACCGCCUUCGCAAGUUAAAUGUUGACUUUGGGGAAGACUUGGCGAUCGACAUGGUGCUUCACUCUUUGCCUCCGAGCUACAAUCAAUUUAGGAUGACCUACCACAUGAACAAAGAGGAGGUCACCCUAAGCAAACUCCAAGGUCUCUUGAGGGUCGCUGAGAGCAACUUCAAGGACAAGUCUGUUGCACCAACUCCCAAUCCGCCCGCUGCUCCUGUCUUGGCUAUUGGACAAGGAAAGGGAAAGAAGAGGAAGGCUUCGUCUAAGAACUAUCGUAAGGUUAAAGCCCGAGAUGGUGCCUCUUCUAGUGGGACCAAAGUUGAUCCUGCUAAGCCCUGCCCUAACCCAAAGGAGGCAGAGUGCCACCACUGCCACAAGAUAGGACAUUGGAAGAGAAGCUGCCCAGAGUACCUGCAAGCCAUCAAGGAAGGAAAGAUCAAGCCGUCUUUCGCAGGUAUAUACACAAUUAAAUCUAACGAUUCUAAUCAUGCUAUUUCUUGGGUUCUUGAUACCGGUUGUGGUUACCACAUUUGUUCUAAUGUGCAGGGACUAAGAAGAAGUAGGGAUGUGGAGCAAGGAAGGAUCAAUCUAAUCAUGGGGAACAGAAGAUCGUCGCCUGUGACCAAGAUUGGAGUGUAUUCUUUAGUGCUUAGGAAUAGUUUAUGUUUAGAUUUGAACAAUUGUUGCUAUUCGCCAGAAAUGGCUAGAAACAUCAUUUCAUUUCAUGGUUUGUUUAGACAAGGUUUUAGAUUUUCUUUUAAUAAUGAGAAUGGUUCUAUUUUGGCUUAUCUAAAUGGUGUCUUUUAUUUUGAAGCUAUACCAUGUAAUGGAAUUUAUGAAACUGUUAUGAUUGUUGAUAACUUAGGAAAUGAUGUUUUGAACAUAGAUUCUUCCACUAGUAUGGAUAAAGCAUCCUUGUGGCAUUGUCGUCUUGGACAUGUCAACAAGAAACGCAUAGCCCAACUCCAAAAGGAUGGAGUGUUGGAGUCAUUCGACCUUAGGGAAGAUGACACAUGCGAGUCUUGUUUACUUGGAAAGAUGACUAAGUCACCCUUCACGAGUACGUGUGAAAGGGGUGAGGGUCUAUUGGACUUAAUACAUACCGAUGUAUGUGGACCGUUUAGAUCAACCACGAAGGAUGGGAACCGCUUCUACGUGACUUUUACCGAUGAUUAUAGUAGAUAUGGGUAUAUCUAUUUAAUCAAGCAAAAGUCAGAAACCUUUGAAAAGUUCAAAGAGUUCAAGAAUGAAGUGGAGAAUCAAUUGGGCAGGAAAAUCAAGAUGCUUCGAUCCGAUCGAGGAGGAGAGUACCUAAGUCUUGAAUUCCACGAUUAUCUCAAGGAGUGUGGAAUAGUUUCGCAAUUGACGCCUCCUAGGACACCGCAGUUGAAUGGUGUGGCAGAAAGGCGUAAUCGAACCUUAUUGGAUAUGGUUCGCUCUAUGAUGAGUCGUGCUUCACUACCUAUCUCUUUUUGGGGGUAUGCCUUAGAGACUGCCGCCCAUAUCCUUAACCGAGUCCCUACUAAGAAGGUUGCCAAAACACCUCACGAGAUGUGGACAGGGAAAGCUCCCUCGUUGGCACAUAUCAAGGUUUGGGGUUGCGAGGCUUUCGUAAGACGAGAUACUCACGACAAGCUUGAACCUCGAAGUGAGCGAUGUAUUUUCAUCGGCUACCCGCAGACAUCCUUUGGAUAUCUCUUCUAUAGACCGAAGGACAAUGUUGUCUUCGUUGCGAGGAGAGGAGUUUUCCGAGAGCGAGAACUCAUAAGCCAAGGAGACAAUGGGAGGCAAAUCGAGCUUGAAGAGAUUCAAGAGUCGAUAGAUGAAGGAGCCUCUACCGGUGGCACUCAACCCGAGGAGGAAACUUCGGGUGAACCAAUUGACAAAUCAUUACCUAUUAGACGUUCCGAUAGACUUAGAGUUCAACCCCAGUUUUAUAGUUUUCAUAUUACUACCGAAGGGGACACGUAUAUUAGUGAUGGUACACUAAUAAAUCUUGAUGAACCUAAUAGCUAUAAGGAAGCCAUGGCAGGCCCGGAGUCUGCAGAGUGGAAAGAAGGAAUGGAUAGCGAGAUCCAAUGCAUGUAUGAUAACCAAGUUUGGAAUUUGGUUGAUAAUGUGCCCGAACGUAAGACCGUUGGGUGCAAAUGGAUCUUCAAGAAGAAGACCGACGUGGAUGGAAAAGUACACACAUAUAAAGCGCGAUUGGUCGCGAAGGGCUUUACUCAAACUCCCGGAGUUGACUAUGAUGAGACCUUCUCACCAGUUGCGAAGAUUAAAUCUAUUAGAGUGAUGUUAGCAAUUGCCGCAUUUCAUGAUUAUGAGAUUUGGCAAAUGGAUGUCAAGACCGCUUUCCUUAACGGAAAGUUGGCUGAGGAUGUUUACAUGGCUCAGCCAGAGGGGUUUGUGGAUCCGAAGCAUCCGGAUAGAGUGUGUAAGCUUGAGAAGUCCAUUUAUGGACUUAAGCAAGCAUCUCGCAGAUGGAAUCUUUGCUUCGAUGAGAAAGUCAAAGAGUUUGGAUUUGUACGAAGCGAAGAUGAAUCUUGUGUAUAUGUCAAAGCCAGUGGGAGUAUAGUAAGCUUCCUCGUUCUAUAUGUCGAUGACAUAUUACUCAUAGGAAACGACAUCCCGACUCUGCAGGAGGUUAAGUCCUGGCUCGGGAAGUGCUUCGCUAUGAAGGACCUCAGAGAGGCUUCCUAUAUUUUGGGAAUAAGGAUAGUGAGUGAAAGAAGUAAGAGACUAAUAGGACUUAGUCAGAACACUUACUUAGAGAAGGUACUAAAACGUUUUAGUAUGGAACACUCGAAGAAGGGAGAAUUACCGAUACAAAGUAAUGCCAAGUUGAGUAAGACUCAAAGUCCGAGUACCGAAGCUGAAAUAGCAGAAAUGAGCCGAGUACC